rnacentral:rRNA from 1 species
CAGCCGCCGCGGUAAUACGAAGAGGGCUAGCGUUGUUCGGAAUUACUGGGCGUAAAGCGCACGUAGGCGGAUAUUUAAGUCAGGGGUGAAAUCCCGCAGCUCAACUGCGGAACUGCCUUUGAUACUGGGUAUCUUGAGUAUGGAAGAGGUUAGUGGAAUUGCGAGUGUAGAGGUGAAAUUCGUAGAUAUUCGCAGGAACACCAGUGGCGAAGGCGGCUAACUGGUCCAUAACUGACGCUGAGGUGCGAGAGCGUGGGGAGCAAACAGGAUUAGAUACCCCAGUAGUCCCUGUCUCUUAUAC